ACCAUGGCCUGAUAUUGUUCUAAAUAAAGAGAAAAAUACACGAAACCAUUGUGAUAAUGAAAACAAGUUAGAACUUUUUUUUACAAGGAAAAAUAAAAACAAAAGCUAUUUCAAGCAAAAGCCUUGGUUGAUGAUGAGUGUUUUAUGCAGGAGCCUGGGCCAAAUUCUAAAAGGCCGAAGCAUCUGCACCUAUAUAAUUAACCAUCUGACACCAGCCAGCCAGGUAAUGGCACCAUGUGUUCUUCUCAAAGGAGCUGUAUUAUCACCACCUGUCUGUCUGCUAUCUGUGAAACACUUCCCACGUUCCUCUAUGGCUCAAUCAUGAAUGUGCCCUCAGGCCACCUCUCUAUCUAUCUGCAGCUAUUUAUUUUUUAAUGGUAAUCCUCAUAAUUCACACAGAAGCAUACUCUUAAGGGUGCAUAAACUUUGAACAAUAAUAACCCUUCAACUAGCUACUCAUGCUUGCAUUCAUCUUCUUCAACUGUGACUAGGAAGCCAAAAAGGAAAAGAUUUAUUCAGAAGGCGAACCAUUAAAAUGACUCAGAAGAGAAAUGGAAGAAUGGAGAAGAAGAAGGGGAGGAAGAGGGAGAUCCAGAG
rnacentral:misc_RNA from 1 species